rnacentral:lncRNA from 1 species
GGGCGCGAUGGAGUGGCCACUGACAUGGCCGUUACAGGGCGUCGUGGAGCAGCGCUGGGUACGGCCAUGACAGGGCGUAAUGGAGUUCCGCUUUGUACGGCUGAUACAGGAGAUCGUGGAACAGCAUCGGAUACAGCCGUUGCAGGGAGUAGUGGAGCAGGAGGCCUCGGCGUGCCUCUGGGAAGCAGCCUUUCGUUAUCAAGAGAUCUCCGACUCGGGGUCGGAGUGCUGGAUCAGGGGACAGCCGACUCGGGGUCGGGCUGCGGUGCUGAGGAUAUCCGACUUGGGGUCGGAUUGCUAGAUUAAGGGGCAGCCGACUCGGGGUCGG